rnacentral:lncRNA from 1 species
CUUCAGACUGGGAAAUAAAACAAUUACAUCACAUCACAAUCAAGAGUGUUCACUUCGAUGCCUCAGGAAACCUAAUGAAACCACUGUGAUUGGUGCUGCUAGCAAGGCAAUCUUCUUCUGCAGAAUACAUCUGUCUUGUACCAGAAUGAGCAAAGAGAACAUUAUCAAGACAAAUCGUAGCUAAUGCAUUCUCGUUUAUGCAUUUCUGGGCUGAUGAACAGGCCCAUUAACUAUCACCCCAAAUGGAUUGGGAAUGCUACUGAACAAGAAAAAGACGACAUUUCCCUCCCACAUAAAUACACAAACAUCACCCAAUGUAAAUGCUACUCUGGAAUUUUCUGCCUCACUCUGGGCUGCUGUUUGUAGGUUUGGAAGAAAAGAAAUUAAUAACCUGUCUACAGAGUCUUCAAACAAGCAAAUGGCUCUUCCUUAUUAACGGGAUUGGGCUAGCAGCAAAUUGGAUCUUUAGUUUCAAGGCCUCAUCCCUUUGCCCAAAAGUUAUCCUGAUUUUGAAAUGCCACACUCAUGUUUUACCAAGAAACAACAACAAUCUACUACCACCACUGUUAUUAUGGCAUUUCAAUCAACUAGUUUUGCAGUUUGAGAAAACACUUUGUUGAAACCCAAAGGAAAAUCUGCUCCGUUUCCAUUCAGACAUAUGGCAAAAAAAAAAAACCUUAAUAACCAGUAAUCAGAGUGUGCCUUCUUUGGGUGGAAAUCCACUGAGGACAAAACAAUUUAUGCUGCAUUGGACAAAAUAGCUCAUCGAUGUUCUUCUCCAAGAGAUAGUAAAAAUAACUCCCUCUCAUCUGAUAUCCCAAAACUAGGAGGGAAAGAGUUCAGAUAAUGUUGUGAUCGAUAAAGUCACAAAAGCAGAGUCAUGUAGGAAAUACAUCUUGAAAUUACUAUCUUGCUCUUUUAUCACAGAACCAGCCAAAGGGCCAUUAUGAAGGGUAGUAUUACAACAAGUUUUAGUUCAGAGAAUCAUUGAAAUUAAA